rnacentral:rRNA from 1 species
AACGAACGCUGGCGGCAUGCCUAACACAUGCAAGUCGAACGCCCCGCAAGGGGAGUGGCGAACGGGUGAGUAACGCGUGGGAACCUACCCAGCAGUUGGGGAUAACCGCGGGAAACUGCGGCUAAUACCGAAUACGUCCUUUGGGAGAAAGAUUUAUCGCUGUUGGAGGGGCCCGCGUCGGAUUAGCUAGUUGGUGAGGUAACGGCUCACCAAGGCGACGAUCCGUAGCUGGUCUGAGAGGAUGAUCAGCCACACUGGGACUUAGACACGGCCCAGACUCCUACGGGAGGCAGCAGUGGGGAAUAUUGGACAAUGGGGGCAACCCUGAUCCAGCAAUGCCGCGUGAGUGAUGAAGGCCUUAGGGUUGUAAAGCUCUUUUACCGGGGACGAUGAUGACGGUACCCGGAGAAUAAGCCCCGGCUAACUUCGUGCCAGCCGCCGCGGUAAUAC